CGAGUAAACAAGGCAGCCGCGGGAAGAAGACCGCAAGGUGCUUCUCGAGGAAAGUCCGAGCUCCGCAGGGCAGGGUGCUGGGUAACGCCCAGUGAGGGUGACCUUAAGGCUAGUGCCACAGAAAACAUACCGCCCGGCAAUCAAAUCUUGCCUUCGUUAUCUAAAUGCAGAUUUAACACAGCUUAUAUUUAAAGCAACGCUAAAUUAUCAAACAACGAAAUAGUGAUCAUGAAAUUUCUAAAGAAGGUAAGAUUUGAUUGCCGGGUAAGGGUGCAACGGUGCGGUAAGAGCGCACCAGAAGCCGGGAGACCGGUUUGCUAGGUAAACCCCACCCGGAGCAAGACCAAAUAGGGGGAGGAUGAAGUUGCCCGCAGAUUCCCCGGGUUAGGUCGCUUGAGGUGUCAGGCAACUGAUAUCAAAGAUAGAUGGCUGCUGCUCAUGGUUUGCAACCAGUAAACCAUGAAAACAGAACUCGGCUUAUGAGUUUGCUCGGUUC
rfam:Firmicutes bacterium ML8_F2 scaffold_14, whole genome shotgun sequence.